UUCGCAAUGCCCGAAAGGGUGACGAAGCGACGCCGCGUGCGGGAAGAAGGCCUUCGGGUUGUAAACCGCUGUCGGGAGUUAAGAAAUGCAAGGGUGUUAACAGCAUCCUUGCUUGACUAAGGCUCCGGAGGAAGCCACGGCUAACUCUGUGCCAGCAGCCGCGGUAAUACAGAGGCGGCAAGCGUUGUUCGGUAUUAUUGGGCGUAAAGAGCACGUAGGUGGUUUUGUAAGUCAGAUGUGAAAGCCUUCUGUCCAAAGGAAGAACGGCAUCUGAAACUACAGAUCUUGAGUGUAGGAGGGGAGAGUGGAACUUCUGGUGGAGCGGUGAAAUGCGUAGAUAUCAGAAGGAACACCGGCGGCGAAGGCGACUCUCUGGCCCGUAACUGACGCUGAGUGUGCGAAAGCUAGGGGAGCAAACGGGAUUAGAUACCCCGGUAGUCCUAGCCGUAAACGAUGGGCACUAAGUAGAGGGGUUUU
rnacentral:rRNA from 1 species